rnacentral:rRNA from 1 species
CACGUAGGGGGCAAGCGUUGUCCGGAUUUAUUGGGCGUAAAGAGCUCGUAGGCGGCUUAGUAAGUCGGGUGUGAAACCUCCAGGCUCAACCUGGAGACGCCACCCGAUACUGCUGUGGCUAGAGUCCGGUAGGGGAGCGUGGAAUUCCUGGUGUAGCGGUGAAAUGCGCAGAUAUCAGGAGGAACACCAGCGGCGAAGGCGGCGCUCUGGGCCGGUACUGACGCUGAGGAGCGAAAGCAUGGGGAGCGAACAGG